CAACUCCGAAGUGACGGCCCCCGGCUCUCUCUCCUCAGUCGGCUGCUGCGGCCGGGACGCCCCCGCUCCCAUCGAGAGGGGAAGGAAAGUGCUACCCCUGAACACUACCUCCUCUGCAACACACACACAGUCUUCUGCCAUUCCCAGGCCCUGGUGGUUUGUUAAGGAACAGCAUUCCAUCCUGUAAGGGGGCACGGGUUCGAGCCCUGGUCUGGGAAGAUCCCACAUGCCGUGGAGCAACUAAGCCCGUGUGCCACAACUGAGGCUUCGCUCCAGAGCCCGCAAGCCACAACUACUGAGCCCACGUGCCACAACUACUGAAGGCCACGCGCCUAGAGCCCGUGCUCCCCAACAAGAGAAGCCACCGCAAUGAGAAGCCCGCGCACCGCAACGAAGACCCA